rnacentral:rRNA from 1 species
GACAGAGGAUGCAAACGUUGUUCGGAAUUACUGGGCGUAAAGCGCGUGUAGGCGGCUAAGUAAGUCGGGCGUGAAAUCCCACGGCUCAACCGUGGAAGUGCACUCGAAACUGCAUAGCUAGAGUCCUGGAGAGGAAGGUGGAAUGCUUGGUGUAGAGGUGAAAUUCGUAGAUAUCAAGCGGAACACCGGUGGCGAAGGCGGCCUUCUGGACAGUGACGUGACGCUGAG